rnacentral:rRNA from 1 species
UACAGAGGUCUCAAGCGUUGCUCGGAAUCACUGGGCGUAAAGCGCACGUAGGCGGCUUUUUAAGUCAGGGGUGAAAUCCUGGAGCUCAACUCCAGAACUGCCUUUGAUACUGAGAAGCUUGAGUCCGGGAGAGGUGAGUGGAACUGCGAGUGUAGAGGUGAAAUUCGUAGAUAUUCGCAAGAACACCAGUGGCGAAGGCGGCGAUCUGGGAAGAUACUGACGCUGAGGUGCGAAAGCGUGGGGAGCAAACAGG